AAAAUGUUAAAGUGCAUCGGCUUAUAAUAUCUCGAUGACAUUUCAAACACGCCUACACAACGUCCAAUGUACACAUUUAAUAUUUUACAUUAUUGGGAUUUAUGAGGCGUGAUAUAGUUUAUUAAAAGUACAAUGCAGUUUCUCUUCCUUAUAUGUUACAUGUUGUUCUGGAGUAACAUUUUACAGGCAGAUAAUGCCCAGGAUGUUACAGAAGAAUCAUGUAGAAAUCUUCUCCUCAGUCCUGAGUUUGAUGACGGCAUAGAAACAAUGAAUGAAUUGGAGUGUAUGUACUGGGCCUAUGGUUAUAGCAGAGACGAGGCAUUAAGUUUGGCUAAUCAGUCAUUCCAAGGAAAAAAUAAUGAAUCUGUUGUCCAAUGACAAAAACGGUGAUGAUUUUUUUGCAAAGACAAAAUAAAAAUCUACCGACUUUUCGCUCACAAAUUUUUACGUCUAUAACUAUAGAGAAUCUAAGACUGACAUGUUUUUCAAUCCUAUAUUAACCUUGUUAUUCCAUAAUUACUCAAAAAUAAUUGUGCUUUGACAGAAUUAUUUAUUUACAGCUUUAAAGUUCAGUUUAACUUUGUGUAUUGCUGUGUGUUUGGUUUUCUAUAUUGGCCAAAGGUAUAGGAGGAGGGUUGAGAUCCAACAACUCAUUUUUACCCCCCCCCCCCCCCCUCCCCCGCAUUUUUCACCUGUCCCAAGUCAGGAGCCUCUGGGCUUUGUUAGUCUUGUAUAAAUUUUAGUCUUAGUUCAUUUAUAUAUUGUAGAGUUUCAAAUCGGACAAUAACGGGUAUGUCAUCAUGUACUAAUACGGCUUGUCCCGUGUUUGACCGAUCCGAGAAGUAAUAUAAACAGAGCAAGUUCAUCAGUAUUGCAUAUACUGAUUUAUUUGUAUCAGAGCUGAUUUUUUCAUAUCAUUUUUAAAUAACACGAACAAUCACUGAAUUACAGACUUCGGGCUUGGGACAGGCGCAUGUACUUUUAAAAAGCUGCAGAAAAUCUCGAAUCUUAAAUCAAAGUAAAGUUGGUCCAGCUGUCCAAAGAUUUCAAGACCCCGUUAACAUAAAAUUGUCCAUAUUUUGAGUUAAAGCCAAUGAAAUUUUCUAUCAUUUUGAUAUAUUUUGUCCCAAAAGUAGGACAACAAACUGUAAUAAUAUUAUUGAGAAGGCACUGUUGGGAUUUUUUAUAUUUUCAUGUAUUGUCUAAAAGGAACGCACUAGAAAAUAACUGUGUAUUUUUGUAAAUUUAGAAUCUGUACUUUGGCAACUUCCCUGAAUGAUUUACUGUUGUCAAUUUGUCAAUUAGUAUGAAACUAAAGGAUUUAUAUUUAUAUUUGAUAGAAUUUCUUCAAAAAAUGACAAAGGAGUAGGUCCAGUAAGAGCCCUUUUUGGCCUCAAAAUAUAGCCGUUUUACAAAAUUGAUAAAAUGUAAACUUUAAGUUAUUUAUUGAACAGUAGAGUGCUUUUGUUACAUAAAUAUGGGCUAUUUUUGACUAUACAAUGAACAUUUAUUGGGUGCUGGCACCUUAAAGUCAUGCUAAAUUACUGAAUUCUUCACAAUUCUAGCAUUUUAGUUAAAUUUUAGACGGUUUUCGUGUAAAACGAAAGUGGCCGCAUUCGUGUUCAUCCUUCAUAUUGAAAUGGAAGUUGUAUUUCAUGAUAAAACAUAACAUAUAUAAAGGUUGAGGAUGAACACGGAUGCAGCCACUUUCAUUUUUGAUAAAAAAAAACAUCCGAAAAGUGACAUUUUUCGGCAUAUUUGGUUGAUUUUUCAUAUUUGAGCUUGAUCGUUUUUAAUGACUUAAUCAGUUCAUAUCUUCCACAUAAACCAAUUGAUUCAAAUGAAAUAAACACUAAAGUGUUUGAAAAGUGGUAAAAAUCUAUUGUCAGAUGAACCUGAAAUUUGAGGCCAAAAUCGGUCCUUACCGGACCUACUCCUUUUGGCAUUAUAUGGUCAAAAUAAGCAUUUCAUAGCUUUUUCAAUUUUGAUGCAUAAGUGGCAUUCUUACUUUCUAUUUGACAGGUUUUCAUGUGUCAAUAUUUGUGUUUCAGUGCUUGACAAUCAAGUAGAAAAUCCGUUUUAGUAGAUAAACAUGUAUUUUACAGUAUGAACGGUUACUUAUUUGUUUUAAAUGUACAAGGUUGAACUCUUAUAUUUUGGGUGUUCUAUGAAGAUCAUUGUUUAUUUCUGUACAUCUAUGUCGUGAUCUUGUUAUCUGAAAAUACAUAUAAAUAAAUGCCCACUGUUGUUGAUGCUCAUACUUCUAGAUUUUGACAAUAUAAUAAUUUCUCAGUUCUUCAACUCAUCUCGUUAUUAAUUUUUUUGUCAUUAUAUAUUUAUCAAUGAACAUACAUCUUUUGUACCUAUAUAUAAAAAGGGCGGAGUUGGCUUUUCUUGUCUAUUGGAAAGUUUUCUUUAUAAUUGGCUUUUAUACCAAGUGCUUUUUAUAUUUUAAGAGAAUUUAGUGGUUGUAAUGACUCCAAAUAUAUACAGUCUUCUUACCUUCCAUAAUGUAAAUUCGUCAUAAAGCAGAAAAUGCAAAUCUUUAUACAUGUACUUACACAUGUAAUACUCGUAAUUACCAAAAACAUAUUGGGCAGUACAACAGAUAACAAAAACCACCAAACCAUAACUUUUUCACACACAAAAUAGACAUACAUUUAUACGUUUCAAAGUUGGUGCUUGAAAAGUGUACUCGUCUCCUUGAUAAGUUUUAAGGAGUAAAAUAUUGCAAAUAAACUCAUCAUAGAUACCAAACAUAUCAGGACAAAAGACUUACCAGUGACGCUCGAAUCAAACAUGUUAAAAAUAGGCCAAAUAAAGUACGAAGUUGGAGAGCAUUUUUAUAACACCAAAAGUUUUGCCAAACACAGCUAAAACUGAGAAUGAGAAAUUGGGAAUGUGUUAAAAAGAGACACAACAACCCGACGAUAGAGCAGACAACAGUCGAUGGCCACCAAUGGGUCUUAAAUGCAGCGUUUAAUCUAUUCCUGAGUGCAAUUGCAUGUAUUUUGCAAGUAGUCAAUGCUUAAUUUCGCAUCUCCCAAGAUUUUGGAAUCUGCAUACCUCCCCAAUUUACACAUAUCAAUUUGCCCUAAGGCAGAAAACGCAAAUCCCUUAUAUUUUAAAUCUUGAAUAUUAAACAUGAAUAUAGCAAUUUAGUAUGUUAGAUAAAAGACAGCAUAGGUCUUUGGUAUAAAGUACUAAAUUAAAUUAAUGACAGUAAAACAAAAUCCCUAGCUGGCUAUAAGUUAUGAGCACAUAUGAAACAAUUUUAUUUUAUCAAACUUAACUUUCUUCGGCGAUUUUUUUUUUAAUGGUUAAUGACCAAUGGAUAUAUUUAUGCCAUAAUCUUGAAUUGUUUGGUAGGGUUUUCCGACGUAAAAGGUUACACUACAUUUAUUUUGUCAUAAGGUGUAUAUUGUUGUUAGACAGAAAUUGAGUACUUCUAUGAGGAUUAUGGAGUAGUCUCUCUUUGUUUAAAUCUAGUAUAGCUGGGUGUCUUCAAUACAAGUUACUAAAUAAAUCAUCAAGUUUCUAUUUUUAUUAUCAAUUUUUACGUUUUUAUACAAUCCAUACAAUCAGUAUUUUAGUAAACCAUUAUUACUCGAUUGUUUAAUUAAUUUUUUUUAAAUAUAUAAUCGGCACCUUUUUUUAGUUAGAAAAUAAAUUCAAAAUAUGUUUCAUUUCUUUCCAAGUUUCUAAUUAAAGUGAUGUACAUUUUCAAUUUAAUUAUGUAUUCAGUGGCAAUGCGAUUGUAUCUUCAACACUUUCAUUCAAAUUUUACGGCUAUCAGUUGAUCAGUUCAUCUUUCAGGACAUCACAACCUUCCUAGACCUUAUCUUAUAUGUUGAUGACGACAAUUAUCGUCCUUACCUUUACCUCAGAUGUAAGUGGGGUACUCCAGCCAGGGUGUUAAAAAAAACAUUUUUAGCUCACCUGGCCUGUAGGGCCAAGUGAGCUUUUCUCAUCACUUGACGUCCGUCGUCGUUAACUUUUACAACAGUCUUCUCCUUUGAAAAUACCGGGCUAAAUUUAACCAAACUUGGCCACGAUCAUCAUUGUUUAAAAAAUGUGUUCGAUGAACCGACUAACCAACCAAGAUGGCCGCCAUGGAUAAAAAUAGAACAUAGGGGGUAAAAUGUAGAUUUUGGACUAUAUCUCUAAAAACAAAGCAUUUGAGAGCAAAUCUGAUGAGGGAUAACAAUUGUUCAUUAGUUCAUAAUCUAUCUACUCUGAAAUUUUCAUACCAGUCAGGCAACCUGUUGAUGGGUUGCUGUCCCUGAAUUAGUAAUAUUAAGAAAAUUUUGUAGCUUUUGGAUAUCAUCUUGAAUAUUAUUUUAGAUAGAGAUAAACUGUAAACAGCAAUAAUGUACAAAGUAAGACCUACAAAUAAGUCAAUAUGAUAAAAAUGGUCAAUUGAUCCCUUAAUGAGUUAUUACCCUUUAUAGUCAAUUUUUAACAAUUUUCGUAAUUUUUUACAAAACAUUUUCCACCGAACUACUGGCACAAGUUAAUUUUAGAUAGAGAUAAUUGUAAGCAGCAAGUACGUUCAUUAAUGUAAGAUUUACAAACACAUCACCAUCAUGCACCAAAAAAACAGUUUUGUCAUGAAUCCAUCUGUGUCCUUUAUUAAAAAGGUGAGACACACAAGCUCUUUUAGAGCCUCUAGUUUCAUAUAUGAACGUAGAUAACGAAUUUAUUUGCGGUCUAAGUCCGAAUUGGCCGAUUUUUAGGGAAAAUUGGGACAAAGGUGUAACUUGAAAACAACGGGUUUUUUCUUCAAUAUUUUUUAUUUUAUUGAAUUUGUAAAUUUAACAUAUUCUUUACGGGAUGUAGGAUACUUACUUUCUUUGAUAAAAUCAUAUAUAUAUA